rnacentral:lncRNA from 1 species
GAAGACUUUCAACAAAUAACCCCCAUCUCUCAUACGCGUCUUCAAUUUUUCCAAUUGCCGCAGUACUAAUUCAGGUACUAUCUUUUUUCCUCCCUCUAUAUGUAUAUGGGGUUAAUUAUUAGUAUCUUAUGGUUACAAAUCAGGGGUAAAUUUUGAAUAAUUGGAGAUAUGGUUUUCCAUUCUGUGAAUUUGUUUAAUUAAUUUGAGGACUGAGGUGUUUGGUGGGUAUUUCCAAGUGAUUUUUUUUCUUAAUUUGUAUUUAUUUCAAGAUGAAUUUGCUCAGGAGUGUUUGAUUGGGCUAGAUCUGUUUGAAUGGUGAUAUAAUGAGUUUUAUGUAGCUGUGUAACAAUAUGAUGUUUAAAAGGUAGGAUUUUGGGAAAAUGAAAAGGCAGGAUUUGUAAUUACUUUCUAAUUACUGAAACAGAUCUAUUUUCAUAAUGAAAAACGAAAAAGAAAAAGUUGUUUGGACAAAGAUCUAUUUUUUUUUCCUUUUCUUCCUAUGUUCAGUUGUUUAUUCCAUGAAAACACCACAUAAGUUUUUUUUUAUGUUGUUGCACAAAAAUAAGGUUUUUCAGUGUUGCAGGUUCAAUGCAGUUGGAGUUAUUCUUCAGUUUAGAAGUAAAUAAAUUAGUAUUUUUAAAAGGCACACUUGUUCAAAAAAACUGAGAAGAGAAACCGGAUGUUAUCACAGAAGGCUCAAGGCAGACAUUGUAACCAAAUGGAUCCUUAGAUUUCAAA